GGCAGGCGGAUUCUUAACCACUGCACCACCAGGGAAGCCCUGGUGCCUCAUUUCUGAUGGGUGAUAAGGCAUCUCAGACUCAGGACUGCAGGACCUGCCGCUGCGAUCUGCUGGAGCCGAUAACCCAGCUGCAUCUUCUGGGCCGUGCCAUCUUCCUCCAGGGCAGUGAUGAUCUGAAACACAGAGACCAACUCAGCAGGGGGAGACCGUCAGCCUGCCGUCUGCCUUUGCCACAGACUUCAAUAGGCCUCCACAGCUACCGCAGCAGGUGUGGGUAGGGGCCCGAGAAACCCUGUGAGCUGCUGCACUCACUUCCUCAGGGCCCCCUCGGGGAGGGGAUGAUGACAGCAGAGUCACUGUGGGGUUUUAAGGAUUAGUGAGGUAGGGAAUGAAGUACUUUACUCAGUACCUAGCACUCACGGUAAUGCAUAUCACCUCCCCAGUAAAAUCGUUUUGAGUGGAGGCCAACUUCACCCACCAUGCUGGUCUUCUCUGCCACAAACCCCCUGGAAGCCCUGCUCCACCCAUCCUGGCUCCCCCGCCCACCAGGCAACAAGCAGUUCCUAAAUUCCUACAUGCCGGGUGCUGGACAAGGAGCAGGGACCCGGCAGUGAUGACAGGUACAAUCCCUGCCCUCGUGGGGCUCACUGGAGGGGAGACAGGUAUUGACCAAACACGGACAACUACAUAACCACAAGGGGGGCUGCCACAGAGGGAAGGGUGGGAACAGGAGGGGCUCGCCGGCCACGCCUCCACAAGGGGACAGCUGUGUCACACGGCCCCGCCUCCCCCACACCGACACCCACACUGUUUGGAGCAAGGCACCUGGACUUCACGCUUGUGCAUCACUCCUGUGUCAAAUGCCUGUCCCCACUCCAGGCCUGAGCCAUGAGGCAGGGCCCUCAUCGCUCAACAGCAACGGCCACAUCCCUGGGGCCACGCAAACAUCUGGGUAGAUGAUUCUAGCAGGCACUCAGUGGGUUGACCGGUGGGCGCUCUGAUCCUGAGGCCCAGCCCAGGAAUCCCCCAGAAAGCCCCCUUACCGGCUCUGUUGUGCCCGCAUCUGCCCCAGACCCUCCUCUCUGGCAGCGCAUGCAGCCCAGCCAGUCCCACCCGCCCAGAGAUGGCCUGCACAGCACACUGCCACAUGUGGUCUCAGGUAGGGCUCUGAGGGAGCACAAGGCCGGGGCACAGGUGGCCGCUGUGUGUACCUCCCAGCACAUCCUGCACACCAUCUCCAGGCCCUGGUAGAUCCCCAGCCAUCCAUCACCACCACCAUGCCCAGGAGCCCAGCUGAGGAGCCCGGAUGGGAAGGGCGGCAGCAGGUAAGAGCUGGGCCACUACCAGGAAGCACACCUGAAGAACACUUCCCGAACCCAGGGCUCAGCCCCCCUCCACCACUCUGUGCCUGGGGGAGACCCGAAGGCCCCACACUUGCGUCACAGAGCCAGUCACCCUCUCACUUCAUCCUGACCGUGCCCAGGUUCUGCCCACCUGGUCAUAGUAUUUGUUGAUAUACUUGUAGAGUUCGUGCAGGGCCACUCGCACCCCCAGGUCUCCAGAGUAGUUCUAGGGAGGAGAGACAAGAGGUUACAGAGAUAGGGGGUGCUGCCAGCCACCAGAGGAGGCCCAGGACCCCAGGCAAGGGGAGUGGGGAAGAGGGGGCUGGGAGGUAGAGGAAGGAACAGGGCCCUGCAUUGGGAAGCAGAGCCCCUCCACAGACAGGGGAUGCCAGGCUAGACGUGCUAAGCUGGGGACAGGAUAGGACCAAAGGGCCUCCUUGGUGGAGAGAGCCUGGAUCUGUAGUUUCACCAUGGCCUGGGGUCUCCACUGGGGCUCGGCCUCUCUCCCCCUCCAGGCUCCAGCUGGGACCCUCUGGCAUCCCAGGCAAUUGCAGAGCCAGGCAGAAUAGGUGCUGCUCACAGGCUGUGACCCAGCAUAGUUCUGCUGUGACCUCAUUCAAGUCUUUCCUGAGGUCACACCCAGGCCCCUCCAUGGGGACAUCUCUGAACCUCAACCUCCUCUUCAGGACAAUGGAGUUGAUAUCACCUAACUUGUAGAGCUUUUAUGGGAAUCAAAUGAGAAGUAAUCAAAGCCCCCACGCACAGCAACACCCCGAAACUGUAGCUACUGUUGUUAUUGUGGUUGUGGUCAUCAUCAUCGUGGUUUCGGAUUUACAUUGUUUAUAAAUUCCCCGGACUGGACUGUUUGGAGGCUGUUUUAGGAGUAGGUGGGGGCAUGUCUAUAGUGCCAAGGAAAGCAGAGCAGUAGGAAGACGUGGACAGGCUGACCCAGGCAGUGCUGGGGCUGAAUCCCUGCCACCUCACUGCCUUGGAACUAUGGUCCACAGACCCCGAGGGGCUGCAGACAUCUAAACACCUGGCUGAGUCAGGCUCGGUGGCAGCUGCCAGGACAAGGCCCCUGCUGCUCUCUGAUGAGACACUGGGAGCCCUGGUCUUUUACAGAGGCAGCGGGAACACUGUGCUGAGGCCCCCAGGGCUUCCCUGCAAAGGAGCAGUGUGAAGGGGGCAGGACCCUUGUGACAGAAGGCCUAUGCCCAACCCAAGAAGCAGAAGGAGGGCCAUACCCGGGACAGCUCGGCCAGGAUGGAGUUCAUCUCUUGAUCACUGGCGGGGAUGGUCUGUCUGAUGUCUGCAUAGUACCUGCCAGAGAUCAUGGGUCCGGCAGCCGCUGGGGAAACAAACCCCUCUUCACCCCACCAGGCCCACCCCUGGGCCUCAGCUGUAAACACCCACCAAUCCGUCCAGCCAUUAUCCCCCAGAUGCAAUCCCUUUCCCUCGUACCUUUCCACCAUCCGUUUGUACCGGGGAAUAUCCCGAGCAUACAGAAGUUUGUUGAUGGGAGAGUCCUGGGUGCCAGUAGGUGAACAGUGAAAGGAAAAGAAGGAUGAGAGCUCCUGUUAGGGUGACCAGCUGUCCCAAUUUUCCCAGCACUGCUUCAGUUUUAAAACUAAGUCCCGAAUUGCAGGAAACCUCCUCAGUCCCAGACAACCCGGAUGGUUGGUCACCCCACCUCAUUCCUUCUGUUACCCCUCCCCCAGUGUCCCAUCUCUGCUGUCAUCACCUUGAGCUUCCCCCCAUCUCACUCCAAGGUCAGCUCCACAUGCCUCCACCCGGACCUGGCAGGGAACUGGCAUGCAGGGUGGGAAGGGUGCAGUGCCGUGUGGAGCCCUAAUACUGCUUCUCCAAGUGCUGUUCAUUCCCCAUGUAAUGUAAUUUUAAAAAUCAGGAAACUAACCCCGAAAUUUAAUUAAAUUGCCCCAGACCACCUCACUCCUGUGUGGCUGAGCUGGGAUUUGAAGCAGGUCUCUCAGACCAGAGCCCACAAUCUAACACAGCCAGAUACAUCCUCUACCACCGAACUGGGCUCCAAUCCCAGCUCUGUCCCAGUGGCUGUGGGCAGCACACUUCCAUUCUCUGGACCUGCUGCCUCAUCCCACAGCUGCUGGGAGGGUGAGGCAAGACUGCACUGCCCCCUGCGAGCAAGGGCGUGAGCGCUGGGCCUGAGGCAGGAUGCCUGCUUCUCAGCAACUCUCCAUGGGUGGCCCUUGGCAUCCUGGUUUGCACUAUUCCUGAGCUACCCAGGAAGCAUUUGCAGCGCUGCUGGGAAGGGGAAGCAGUGUGAAGAUCAGGCAGAAGAACCCAGCUACCAUACAGCACACACCCUGGAGGUGACCCCUGGGUCCUGGUGUGGCUCUGUGGUUCUCAGCUCAUCGCAGGCAGAGUAAUGAGCACAGGCAGAGCAAAAAUGGCUUACAAAAGACAGCACUACAGAGUGAAACUUUCCAUCUUGUUUCCCCGUGGAGAACUCUCAAGAGGUCCCAGGCCCAGGGGUCGAGGCUAAGCAGAGUCCGUUAUGCAGAGCCACGACAGCCCUGCCUGCUGGGUGCCUGAGCAGUCAUGGUGGUGACCCCAUGUCUGUCACAGGACUCUCUGGGUCCUGACCACUGUGACAACAUACCUCCCCCUCUCUGUGCCACCAGGCAGCCCUGACCACCUCUCCUCCAUGCUUCCCAGCUCCCCUGUCAGCACAUCCCUCCUCGCCUGGCCCUCCCCUGGACUCUGCUCCCUGUACUGCACGGGCUGGCAGACACUUCCACUGCCCUUGGGAAUCAAAUCUCCGAGGCAGCCUGGAGCUGCUCUGCAAUUGUAGAAUCCAUGGGCUCACCUCCUCCAAGUCUUAGCUCACCACCGCCAGAGGCCCGGGGUGCGUAAGGAACCCCUCCCUCUUCCUCACCCCCACAUCCAACCCACAGCUUCUGCCUGCCCUGUACCCUCUAGUCCCAGCAUGAACCUGGCCACUGCUCAUCCCAGGGACAACACAGCUUCCUCUCUGGACUCCAGGCUCCAGUCCAUCCACUGCAUGAUUGCCAGGAGGCUCCACCUAACUCUCAGGUCUGACCACCCCCUUUGCCCUGAGGGUGAGCCCUUGCCAAGUGGCCCUGGCCUCCUGCCGCACCGCCAGCACUCUUUGCUCCACUUAACCCUGUGAAUCAGCACACGUGCCCCCUGCCCUUGCUCAUCCCUGAAGGCUGAGGCACGGCCACCUCCUAGGGAGGCCGGGGACAAAGCCUGGCCCCGGGCCUGCGGUCAAAGGCCUCCCAUGUCCUCCUCCUUGACAUCCUCAAGAAGGCCUGGAGUCUGUGCACCACAGCACUCUCCAUCCCCGGCCACGCUGCCCCCCCCACCUAGACCCUCCCGGUCCACCCCAGCCAGCUCACCCGGCCCAGCUUGUGGUCAGCCAGGGUGCAGGCAUCCAUGAAGGUCUGUGCAAUGACCAGGAACACUGCAUCCAUGUUAUCAGAUGUCUGCACGUCGAACACAAACUGCGGGUUUUUUAUGAUAUUGAUCCAGAACCUCAGCGGCAAGCUGUGGGCGGGGCAGGUGUGGCCAGUGAGUGUGCUGGGGAGACAGGAGAGAAGACCCCGCACAUGCUAGGCCCGCCCCGCCCCCACCUGUUGGUCUUCCAUAUAUGGACGGUGUCCUGGUCCGAGAUGCCAUGCUGCUGGGCCUGCUCGUCCAGCAGGUCAAAGAAGUACUUCACAGCGAGCGGCACGGGACGGCUGGUGCUGAGAAUCACCUGGAACAGGUCAUCCACAAACUUCUGCAGGGUGCCCUGCGGACGAGGGGAAGCACAGGAGAUGCAGUCAGCAAGGGGACCUCAGCCCAGCCCAGCCCAGCCUCAGAUGCCUCGUGACACCAGGCCUGUGCGAGCCCCACAUACCCCCAAACCCCACUACCUGUCUCGUCCCUGCCCCCAGCCCCACCUUCAUGGACAGCAGGCGGGUCAGGUAGAUCUCAGGGAUGGCCUUGGCUCGCUCCCGCUCCCCGCCCCGGAGGCUGCCCCUCCGAGGCCUGGGCGGCUCCGGCUCCUCGCUUGGCUUCACCAGGUGCCAGGGCCGGAUGCCCCCCUCGUCCACAUCCUCCAGCAUUGGGGUCCCUGUACCAAGACCUUAUAGCUUGUCACCCCUCAUCAGGUGCCCCCUGCCCUAGACCCCCAGGGUCCUGCCAAAACCUGGGAGUGGGGGCACCUGGUUAAGGGCUUCUCUGGGUGGAAGGGAAGUAGACACAAGCCCACCCUGAAGUCCAGAGGACCUUCCCCCAUUACUGGAGACUGGGCAAAGCAAGGGUAGAGGACUGCGAUGGCAGGGGUGGGGCGGGGGGGAGGGUAAGUACUCACUCUCUCCAGGGACGUAAUCCUGGCUUUCCCGGAGGACAUGCUUGGUGAGGCACGGGACGAGGGCCACAGUUGCUCCGUCUGGGACCUGUGGACCACAGUUGGUGACCCCUCCACCAGCCCACCCCACCACAGCCCUCCCCCAGCUCCCACCCCUCCCACCUUGUAAUGCUGCAGGGUGUUCAGGCGCCUCCACAGACCCUGGACCUCAGAAGUCACGUCCUCGUCAGAAAGAAUGAGAUGCCCGGCCACCCCAGACCGCCAUUCUGCAAGGACAAGGUGGGCUUGGUCCUUGUCCUUGCAGACAUACCCUCCCUGCAGUGGAACCUGUCCCCUCUUCUACAAGGACACUGGUCCCUCCAUCAGGGGCAACCUCACCCAACUUCUCUGAAGUCCAGAAACGGGGGCCCCUCAACAGGUGACAGGUCAUCCCUAUAGAGGUGUUCCAGAGCCCACCUCCCCUGGGUGAUAAGGUGACCCCGCAGAGCUGGUCUAGGGCCAGCCUAGCCCUGAGGGUCCCCAGACCACCCUUCCCCUCUGCCCUCACCGACAUCCAGGGUGCGGGGGUCUGGCCGCUGGGCAAGAGGCACUCCUUUAUAAAGCUGGUCCAACAUCUUUUCCUUGGCCUGGGAGAUGGUGUCACAGUCCAGGACCUUCACAGGCACACCCUGGGCUUCUCCCGCUCCAGGCCCCACAGCCAGUAGUGCAUUCAAGGUCUAUGCACGAUACAUGGGAGCAGUCAGGGCUCAUGCCACGUGUGGGAUGACCAAGAUGCAAGGCCAAGGCCAGGGACAACCCAUAAGGAAGCCACUGCCUCUGACCUCCAAGCACCAAACAAUCACUCCUCCUUGUCUCUUCACCCGCCUGCCUCCCCAGGGACAGCAGCUCCCUCCACUCUGUGGCCCCAGCACCUGGCACAGAGCACUAGUGUCUGCUGGGUGAAUGGCAGAAAAAAUGGGAGAGCACAAGUCCCUCUGAACUCUGAUCCUCAGGCUCCCGGCACAGACAGUUAGGCUGAGGAAACCCACAUAAGAAGUGGGGUCUCCACUAGCCAGAGGAGCAGGCCUGGCGGAGCCUGAAUGGGAUUUUCCCAAAGGACCUCCACGUGGGCCACAAAGGGGAAAGUUUCCCAGAGGGAAACAAUGGGCAGGUCUGCCAGGGUGACUCCCAGCUUGGUGGGCACAACCAUGCCCCUGGCAGGAUGCUAAGACCAUGAUCAGGCAGACACUCAGGCCCUGACACAGCAAGGACCCGGACGGGCCCCGGGCAGGGUUGGCUGCUCCCUAGACUCUGGAUGUGGCCACCCUGACCCCACCCCAAACCUGGGGAACCUCUGAGGUUCUAUCUUCAAGGUCUGGCCCUCAAGCCUCUAUCCUGCAGCCAGCUGGAGGUUAGGCUGGCUCAAACCAGAUGCAGACACCCACACAAUCAUACGUGGUCACCCUCCUCACCUUCAUGGGAGACUGACUCACCAGCAGGUUCUCUCUCUCUCUCCCCCUCCCUCCCCCUCCCUCCCCCCCUCACCAGGGGACGGUACUCCACGUCCUCUCGGAGCAGGCGGUUGUCAUUUAGGGUGUAUUUGGCUUUGCCAGUCACGCUGUCUACCGGCCCCUUGUCCACUUGAUGCUUAAUUCCACGGAAAAGCAUGUACAGAGGCUCCCCUACCGAGUCCUGGGAGAGCGGCGGGCAGUUAGGACACCCGGGGCAGGGGACAAGCAUGGGAUGGAGGUGCUGGGGGAGGGAACAGGAUGCAGGCCGCAGAAGGCUUAAGGUGGCUGAGGACAUGCUGGGCAGGGGUGCCCAAGCUGUGCUGGGGCAAGAAGCUGCGUGGUUCAGAGUCCUGACUCUCCCUGGAGGGGAGCCCCACCCACCUCUGCCUCACUCACCCUCACGAAAGUGUAGAGGCAGAUGGACAUCCAGUUGGUGAGCAGCUUCUCCACCACAGUCUCUGUCCUGGGAUGACAGGAAAGAGGGGGCAGAGUCAGCAGGUGGGGACCCAGGGCUUUCUAUUCUU